AUCACACCUCAUGUAGCCUAGCCCAUAGGCCUAUAUGUUUUAAUAAGGUUAGUAUCACACCUCAUGUAGCCUAGUCCAUAGGUCUAUAUGUUUUGAUAAGGUUAGUAUCACACCUCAUGUAGCCUAGUCCAUAGGCCUAUAUGUUUUAAUAAGGUUAGUAUCACACCUCAUGUAGCCUAGUCCAUAGGUCUAUAUGUUUUAAUAAGGUUAGUAUCACACCUCAUGUAGCCUAGUCCAUAGGUCUAUAUGUUUUAAUAAGGUUAGUAUCACACCUCAUGUAGCCUAGCCCAUAGGUCUAUAUGUUUUAAUAAGGUUAGUAUCACACCUCAUGUAGCCUAGUCCAUAGGUCUAUAUGUUUUAAUAAGGUUAGUAUCACACCUCAUGUAGCCUAGCCCAUAGGUCUAUAUGUUUUGAUAAGGUUAGUAUCACACCUCAUGUAGCCUAGUCCAUAGGUCUAUAUGUUUUGAUAAGGUUAGUAUCACACCUCAUGUAGCCUAGUCCAUAGGCCUAUAUGUUUUAAUAAGGUUAGUAUCACACCUCAUGUAGCCUAGCCCAUAGGUCUAUAUGUUUUGAUAAGGUUAGUAUCACACCUCAUGUAGCCUAGUCCAUAGGUCUAUAUGUUUUGAUAAGGUUAGUAUCACACCUCAUGUAGCCUAGUCCAUAGGCCUAUAUGUUUUAAUAAGGUUAGUAUCACACCUCAUGUAGCCUAGCCCAUAGG